AGUGAACGCUGGCGGUAGGCCUAACACAUGCAAGUCGAACGGCAGCACAGUAAGAGCUUGCCCUUACGGGUGGCGAGUGGCGGACGGGUGAGGAAUACAUAGGAAUCUACUUUUUCGUGGGGGAUAACGGAGGGAAACUUACGCUAAUACCGAAUACGACCUACGGGUGAAAGCAGGGGAGAUUCGGACCUUGCGCGAUUGAAUGAGCCGAUGCCGGAUUAGCUAGUUGGCGGGGUAACGGCCCACCAAGGCGACGAUCCGUAGCGGGUCUGAGAGGAUGAUCAGCCACACUGGAACUGAGACACGGUCCAGACUCCUACGGGAGGCAGCAGUGGGGAAUAUUGCACAAUGGGCGCAAGCCUGAUCCAGCCAUACCGCGUGGGUGAAGAAGGCCUUCGGGUUGUAAAGCCCUUUUGUUGGGAAAGAAAAGCAGCAUGUUAAUACCCCGCUGUUCUGACGGUACCCAAAGAGUAAGCCCCGGCUAACUUCGUG
rnacentral:rRNA from 1 species